rnacentral:rRNA from 1 species
CCUACGGGAGGCAGCAGUGGGGAAUAUUGGGCAAUGGGCGCAAGCCUGACCCAGCAACGCCGCGUGAAGGAAGAAGGCUCUCGGGUUGUAAACUUCUUUUAUCAGGGACGAAGCAAGUGACGGUACCUGAUGAAUAAGCCACGGCUAACUACGUGCCAGCAGCCGCGGUAAUACGUAGGUGGCAAGCGUUAUCCUGAUUUACUGGGUGUAAAGGGCGUGUAGGCGGGAAAGCAAGUCAGAUGUGAAAACCAUGGGCUCAACCUGUGGCCUGCAUUUGAAACUGUUUUUCUUGAGUACUGGAGAGGCAGACGGAAGUCCUAGUGUAGCGGUGAAAUGCGUAGAUAUUAGGAGGAACACCAGUGGCGAAGGCGGUCUGCUGGACAGCAACUGACGCUGAGGCGCGAAAGCAUGGGGAGCAAACAGGAUUAGAUACCCCAGUAGUC